UACGGAGGGUGCAAGCGUUAUCCGGAUUCACUGGGUUUAAAGGGUGCGUAGGUGGGCAGGUAAGUCAGUGGUGAAAUCUCCGAGCUUAACUCGGAAACUGCCGUUGAUACUAUUUGUCUUGAAUAUUGUGGAGGUAAGCGGAAUAUGUCAUGUAGCGGUGAAAUGCUUAGAUAUGACAUAGAACACCAAUUGCGAAGGCAGCUUACUACACAACUGAUUGACGCUGAGGCACGAAAGCGUGGGGAUCAAACAGG
rnacentral:rRNA from 1 species